CUCCAAGAACAACUCAAACCAAAUCUCUCUUCAUUCUCCAUCUUAAUACUGUAAAUCACACCUUAGAGGGAGAAAUAGCUGUGUUUCCAAGUUUCUUGAAGGUCGUUCAUCGGUUUCGCCUUUUCGGUUUCUAUAAUCAUUUCAAGCUCUCUUAGUUGCUGGAAAAUUUUUUCAUUUUAUUCUUUACGGUAGAGAGGAAAACGCACGAACGCCACCCAAAACGAAAAUUGGGGCUGCCUUCCUGGAAAAUUCAAGUUCUUCACCGUGAAGACCGCACAAGCUUUGUCUUCUUCCAAAGUUCGGAGUUUUUUGUCCCCACACUCAAACCCCACUUCGAAAACGUCGUAAGAGUUUCUCAUUCGAUGUGCUUUAAUUUUGUUGCAUUUGAGCUAUAAAUUCAAGUCUAUGGAUACCCACCUCAAGAAAAGUCUAUUGUUGUUUUGGAAAGUACUUUUAUUUUACUAUCCACGAAGCUUAUACAAGGUUAGUAUUCUUUUUGAGUCUUUUUUUUUAUACGUUU